GUCUUAAUUGGGCGUUAAGUUGCAGGGUAUAGACCCGAAACCCGGUGAUCUAGCCAUGGGCAGGUUGAAGGUUGGGUAACACUAACUGGAGGACCGAACCGACUAAUGUUGAAAAAUUAGCGGAUGACCUGUGGCUGGGGGUGAAAGGCCAAUCAAACCGGGAGAUAGCUGGUUCUCCCCGAAAGCUAUUUAGGUAGCGCCUCGUGAAUUCAUCUCCGGGGGUAGAGCACUGUUUCGGCUAGGGGGCCAUCCCGGCUUACCAACCCGAUGCAAACUGCGAAUACCGGAGAAUGUUAUCACGGGAGACACACGGCGGGUGCUAACGUCCGUCGUGAAGAGGGAAACAACCCAGACCGCCAGCUAAGGUCCCAAAGUCAUGGUUAAGUGGGAAACGAUGUGGGAAGGCCCAGACAGCCAGGAUGUUGGCUUAGAAGCAGCCAUCAUUUAAAGAAAGCGUAAUAGCUCACUGGUCGAGUCGGCCUGCGCGGAAGAUGUAACGGGGCUAAACCAUGCACCGAAGCUGCGGCAGCGACGCUGAUGCGUUGUUGGGUAGGGGAGCGUUCUGUAAGCCUGCGAAGGUGGCCUGUGAGGGUUGCUGGAGGUAUCAGAAGUGCGAAUGCUGACAUAAGUAACGAUAAAGCGGGUGAAAAGCCCGCUCGCCGGAAGACCAAGGGUUCCUGUCCAACGUUAAUCGGGGCAGGGUGAGUCGACCCCUAAGGCGAGGCCGAAAGGCGUAGUCGAUGGGAAACGGGUUAAUAUUCCCGUACUUGGUGUUACUGCGAAGGGGGGACGGAGAAGGCUAUGUUGGCCGGGCGACGGUUGUCCCGGUUUAAGCGUGUAGGUGUGUGUUCCAGGUAAAUCCGGUUCACUUUAACACUGAGGCGUGAUGACGAGGCACUACGGUGCUGAAGCAACAAAUGCCCUGCUUCCAGGAAAAGCCUCUAAGCAUCAGGUAACAUCAAAUCGUACCCCAAACCGACACAGGUGGUCAGGUAGAGAAUACCAAGGCGCUUGAGAGAACUCGGGUGAAGGAACUAGGCAAAAUGGUGCCGUAACUUCGGGAGAAGGCACGCUGACACGUAGGUGAAGUGAUUUACUCAUGGAGCUGAAGUCAGUCGAAGAUACCAGCUGGCUGCAACUGUUUAUUAAAAACACAGCACUGUGCAAACACGAAAGUGGACGUAUACGGUGUGACGCCUGCCCGGUGCCGGAAGGUUAAUUGAUGGGGUCAGCGCAAGCGAAGCUCCUGAUCGAAGCCCCGGUAAACGGCGGCCGUAACUAUAACGGUCCUAAGGUAGCGAAAUUCCUUGUCGGGUAAGUUCCGACCUGCACGAAUGGCGUAAUGAUGGCCAGGCUGUCUCCACCCGAGACUCAGUGAAAUUGAACUCGCUGUGAAGAUGCAGUGUACCCGCGGCAAGACGGAAAGACCCCGUGAACCUUUACUAUAGCUUGACACUGAACAUUGAGCCUUGAUGUGUAGGAUAGGUGGGAGGCUUUGAAGUGUGGACGCCAGUCUGCAUGGAGCCGACCUUGAAAUACCACCCUUUAAUGUUUGAUGUUCUAACGUGGACCCGU
rnacentral:rRNA from 1 species